AUGCAUCACUGCAUCACUGCAGCCCCCAUUCCAGUCUCAGUCCCAAUCCCAAUCCCAUUCCCAUUCCCAUUUCCAAUCCCGAUCCCCGAGCGAGGCCCACCAUUUGCAAACAGGACAAUCAAAGGGCGCUGGACCCAUCCGACUGUAAUUGCCACAUAUUAUGACAAUCCAUGUAUGGAAUCGAAACCACAGCACGCUGGCACUGCCCAGCAAUGUGCAUUCGCAACCACCUGUGGGUCUGGUCUGGCCGGCCUGUCCACUUGGAUGGCCUUCGUCCGAAUGGAAUCCAUCCGGAGGUACACAUAUGGAUCGCUAGGCACAGCGACGAUGAUGGAGUUUAUUCCUGGAUUACUAUGUAAUCGCAAUAUAAUAAAAUAAAUUCCGAUAAUUGAAGGUUGUCAUAUACGAUAUUCGAUCAGUCUCUUGAUCAGUGAAAAUAAACAAUGCAUAUUCAAUUGAUGAUGAACUUU
ensembl:ncRNA lncRNA:CR43832 long non-coding RNA:CR43832